UACGUAGGGUGCAGGCGUUAAUCGGAAUUACUGGGCGUAAAGCGUGCGCAGGCGGUUUGCUAAGACAGGUGUGAAAUCCCCGGGCUUAACCUGGGAACUGCGCUUGUAACUGGCAAGCUGGAGUGUGGCAGAGGGGGGUGGAAUUCCACGUGUAGCAGUGAAAUGCGUAGAGAUGUGGAGGAACACCGAUGGCGAAGGCAGCCCCCUGGGCUAACACUGACGCCUCAUGCACGAAAGCGUGGGGAGCGAAACAGG
rnacentral:rRNA from 1 species